CAGUAGCCGCGGUAAUACGGAGGAUCCAAGCGUUAUCCGGAAUCAUUGGGUUUAAAGGGUCCGUAGGCGGUCUUGUAAGUCAGUGGUGAAAGCCCAUCGCUCAACGGUGGAACGGCCAUUGAUACUGCAGGACUUGAAUUAUUGGGAAGUAACUAGAAUAUGUAGUGUAGCGGUGAAAUGCUUAGAGAUUACAUGGAAUACCAAUUGCGAAGGCAGGUUACUACCAAUUGAUUGACGCUGAUGGACGAAAGCGUGGGUAGCGAACAGGAUUAGAUACCCCAGUAUCCCUGUCUCUUAUACA
rnacentral:rRNA from 1 species